AUGCAGAAUGUGACUCUAUUGGCUCUACAACAACAAGGGCAGAAGAGGCGCUUCAUUGGCAGGCCAGGGAGCAGCGGGCCUGCGGGGGCAGACUGGAUGCUCUCGGCCGCGCAGGCACUCAAAGGAGGCUCAGAGCCUGGAGUGCUGGAGGCCGGAUGUGGGCGAGAGCCCAGGACCCCCCCACCCCCACCCCCGAGUUCUCCGGAGCUGAUUAUUCUCUCACAGCACAGAACACGGCAGAGUCCCAGAGCUAAGGGCUGGCCCGCUGGGGAAGGGGAGGGCGACAACGUGGAAGCCAGAACUGUAGCCUCGAAAAGGCCGCCUCCUCCGAGAAGCCCUCCCCCCUCUCCCCUCCCCUCCCUUAGCGACUCGGUAAGCCCCAAACCGAGGACGGCCAAAGUAGCUGCGGAGAAAUGGCCACUGGGGUCCCCCGCGGGAUGGGGUGCCGGCACGGGACGGAGGGGGCUAAGUGGGAUGGCAGGAGGAGAGCCUAAGAUCUGCGGAGCCCCAAGGCCACAGACACCCCCAGACCUGCCCAGGGGCGUCCUCGGGCAGGGAGGCCGGGCUCCCGGAGUCUGGGGUGGGGGGAGUGUAGUAUCUCGUUCGGGUGGGAAAGGAGGCCCCGGAGGGGAGCCCGCAGGCCAGCGGCCACAGGGAGGACCGGCCAGACACAUCCCGGGCUCGGCUCAGACUUCGGGGCAGGAGUCGGUCCCUCCCCCAAAAGGCUCCCGGAGGAGGCCCCGCCCCCGCCUACACUGGGGUCCACACAGGCCGCUGCUCCAGCACCUCUCCCGCUCUCGCUUCCGCGGAGCCCCCUCCCACGUCGGGCCUCCGCCCCCUUCCCACCAUUCCCCAAACUCGUUACCCCUCGGCUGGCAGCCGGACUCUCGCCUGGGGCUGGAGAGGGAAGCCUGGAGGGGCAGCAGGAGGUGCGGCCAGAGGUGCUCCUGACUUCCUAUUUCCCAGAAGCCUCUGCGCCGCCUGCUGUCCUGGGGCUGGGCCGCCACGCCCAUCCCUGCUUCAGCCCCGCCCCCUUCCCGCUGCCAAAGGUGAGGAAGUCCCUGAGGGAAAAGGAAGCCCGCCCCCUGCAGGCUCGGCCCAGCUGCGGAGGAGGGCGGAGCUCCGGCUGCUCUCUGGGCUGCGGGAUCUGGAGGGGCCCUUAAUCCAUCGGGGAGCAGCGGAAUUUGACUGGAAGCCCCGUCCAGCCCCAACCUCUCAGGCUGGACUCAGUGGGACGGCAUUUGUAAAGUGCUUAGCGACGCCUGGCAUAGAACCCGAACAAAGGAGCCCCUUCGCCUGGCUGCUACCCAGUAAUACGCAGCGUCGCUUCGCCAGAGCUGCUGCCCUUCUCCCAAGCCAGGGACCCACGUGCUCAUGCCCCAGACCGCAGGAAGGCCCAGCACUCAGCCUGGGAUGUUGGGGGAGAGCUUCUGCUGGGGGGACCCAAGGAUCCAGGUUCGAAGCCCGACUGCCUGUCCAGGAGCUCAGAUCUAUCACUGCCCUUCUGGGGUGUUCAGCAUCUCCCCUCCCUGCAUGCCUGCUCCACGGGACACCCCCAAAUCUUCAGGGGCUCCAGGAAGAUGGAGGCCCUUCUGUCAUUCCCACCAUGACAAUAAGUCUUUGGGUCUGGGCCUGGCUGAGGCGGGGCCCAAUGGCCAGCCCCCGGGAGCCCUCGCAUUUUCUGAACUGGUCAGGCCAGUGGCUGGAAGAUGGAGGUGGGCAGGCCCCACAGAGAGAGAGUGUGUAAGAAUAAAAGUGUAUGUGUGUGAUUAUGAGUGUGUCUG
rnacentral:lncRNA from 1 species